UUCAUGAUAAAUAAAUGGUCAACAAAUAUUGAUUUAUGACUGCUAAGUUAAAUUUUAUUUCAAAAUUACGUUUAAAAUAAUUUAAAAGAAGUAUAUACGCAAAUGUAAUUCGAGAUUUUUCCUCUUGGAGAGAAAGCAAUGGUGUACAAAAAUAAUGUCGAAGAAGGUCUUGGUCUUGUUUCCAAUUGGGUUGUAUUUGUUGUAUUACUUAUUAGGCAAAAUUAAAGACUAAAAAUUGUCAAAUAUGAAAACGAAGGCAGUCCCAAAGCAUCUUUAUAAUAGUCCUUUAUGGAUAUGAAAAAUUAUUUUAACUGGUUUAUGCAAACCUGUGGCAGUUUGAUAAAAGAAAUUUUGAGAAAAAUAGUUGUCCAAUAGUUAAGAACAUUGCGUGUACUCAAACGUAUAUCGGAAAAACUGCUUCAAAACUAAAAAAAAAAACAGCUCCUAGUAGGUUAUUAGAUAAACUCAUUUCGUGUGCUCAUAUUCAAAAUCUGGCAAUUUAUUUGUUUCAGCUCUUAAAAAGAUCUGCUUUUUUCUAGAAACAUUAGAAAAUAUGUUUGUAAAUAUUAAGAAUCUGUAUAAGCAAGGAAUACAUGAGCUAUAUGAAAAGCAAGACAAGAUUCACUACAAGAAGGUGAAAAGUUUGGGUCUCAUAAUAAUUUUAGGAUUUCACAAAUAGUCCACAUGUCAAAGCUGUUCUUUUGCACUAAUUUUGGAUUCAAGAAUUAUUACGCAAGGUAGGAUUUAUGAAAACAGUACAAUAAUAAAGCAAAAAUGUUUCUGUAUACACAAGUAAUAUACUGGAUUGGAGGUUUAAUCAAA